GACGAACGCUGGCGGCGUGCCUAAUACAUGCAAGUAGAACGCUGAAGGAGGAGCUUGCUCUUCUGGAUGAGUUGCGAACGGGUGAGUAACGCGUAGGUAACCUGCCUGGUAGCGGGGGAUAACUAUUGGAAACGAUAGCUAAUACCGCAUAAGAGUAGAUGUUGCAUGACAUUUACUUAAAAGGUGCAAUUGCAUCACUACCAGAUGGACCUGCGUUGUAUUAGCUAGUUGGUGGGGUAACGGCUUACCAAGGCGACGAUACAUAGCCGACCUGAGAGGGUGAUCGGCCACACUGGGACUGAGACACGGCCCAGACUCCUACGGGGGGCAGCAGUAGGGAAUCUUCGGCAAUGGACGGAAGUCUGACCGAGCAACGCCGCGUGAGUGAAGAAGGGUUUCGGAUCGUAAAGCUCUGUUGUAAGGGAAGAACGAGUGUGAGAGUGGAAAGUUCACACUGUGACGGUAUCUGACCAGAAAGGGACGGCUAACUACGUG
rnacentral:rRNA from 1 species